rnacentral:lncRNA from 1 species
UUUUUUUUUUUUUUUUUUUUGGUUUUUCGAGACAGGGUUUCUCUGUAUGGCCCUGGCUGUCCUGGAACUCACUUUGUAGACCAGGAUGGCCUCGAACUCAGAAAUCAGCCUGCCUCUGCCUCCCAAGUGCUGGGAUUAAAGGCGUGCGCCACCACCACCUGGCUAUUUUAAACUAUUUGAAGGUAACAUCUAAUUUUAUGGCUCUAUUUUUCUAAGCUAAUAGCUAUUAAACGGAAGGAAUGUUUGAAUAUUAUGGUUAUAGUUGGCACAAUAAUAGCCUGGUUUUAUUAGUCACCUUUCUCACUGCUGUGACAAAAUACCCGAUUGUCAUUGUCAGAAGCCAUCUAGGAGAUAAAAAAAGUAACAGAUAACUUUCUGAAGAUGGCCAAUUGUAUUGCAUGGUCUGCAGUGGCGAACCCUGAUGUGCAAGGUCUUCAGAGAUUUCAUCUCAGAAUUGGUUCUUGUAUUAUGUCUUUCAUAUUAUUAUUAAAGAGUAUAGUGAUCCCUGGGCAUAAGCCCACCCCAUUGGGCAGAUUUUCUGCAGCUCAACGAAGAUGUACUCUCUUGUAGUAAUGCUAUGAAGGCAUAUGGAUGAUUUCUUAAUUCCUAAAUUUAUACUAGUAAUUUUGAGUUUCCUAUAGAAAGGGCUGCAAUUAGAACUCUGUUAACUUUUCUGUGUCACAGACUAACUCUACAAGGAUAGAAAGCCAGUUGGAAACAUAUUUACCAUCAGGGAAAACAUUCCUUUUGGGCUGGCUGUAAAACCAUUAUCUGGUAACUGGGGUUGUAAACUGUGAAUGGACAAUUUAUUAUAGGUGCAAGGACAGAAGAUAAAAUGUUGACUGGAUUUAUCUAUACAAAAUUUCAAAACAAAUGAGACACUGAGCAGAUGAUUUCCCUCUUGAGAAAACAUUGCUAAUGUAAUGAUGUAAGAAUUAUUGUUUUAAACUUUUAAUGAACCUGUGAAGUUAGUGAUAGAUAAUGAGUGUUUAAUUAGAUAAUUAGUCUUAAUGGAAACUCAUGUAAACAUUUCUGUUGUCACUUAUUAUUCAAUUUAUGAUUUAUGUUUUAAACUUGUGAACUUUUGAUAAAAGAUGUUUGGAAUACCAUGUGAUCAUGUAUCCUGAGAAAUACAAGAACUAGGAACUAUGACAGUAGGAGAGCAAGCAGAGAGAGUAAAGCAGAGAGAGCAGGUUUUUUUGUUUUUUUUUUUUUUUUCUUACCAUGAGACUUCUUAUUUGGGAGCUUUUUCUUUAGGGGUUUUUCCACUAACAGAAACAGAAAGGUAGAAGCUUUUUCUUUCUCUGAGUUAUAAAUGUUGGAGCUUAUUUUUCAUCCAGAAUGAGUGAGUUUUUUCUGCACUGGUCCUUGCUCAAUGGAACUUUCUCAUGGGGGAUUUUGCUCCAUCCACCAAUUUUAUAUAUGUAUUUGUAAGUAUAGGUGUGUCAUGUAAGUAUGUAAUUUGAUAAUACAUGCGGUUGGGCCCAAGAAAAAUGUGAAUGUAUCUGUAUGUGUGUGUGAGUGUGUGUGCUUCUGUACAUAUUACCUGUGCAAAAGGUUUUCUUUCUGUGAGCAUGAUUUUCUUUUCCUGGUUCACUAAAAGCUAAUUGCUCCAAGCCUCCUGCUUGCCUGGACAGCAAGAGGCAAGGUUUCUGGUCAAGAGAAAAAAGAGCCUUAGCAAUAAAUCCUCUACUAAACAUCCCUCCCCGGCUUCAGACCAGUUCACAUAAGGCCAGACAGGCCCCUGGAACCUCAUUAAAGUGAUUUAGGAAAGGGAGGGUUUGUGAUUCAGUCUCUGAGAGUCCUAAGGGUCAAGCUUGGUUGACUCUGUUGAUCUUCCUAUAAACUUCCUACCCCCUUAAAGACCACAAUCCUUCCUUCUGUUCUUUCAUAAGAGUCCCCAAGUUCCAUCAACUGUUUGGCCUGGGUAUCUGCAUCUAUCUGAGUCAACUUCUGGGUGGAGCCUCUCAGAACCACCAACCAAAGAACAUACAAGGGCUGGACCUAGCAUCCCCACACAUAUAGCAGAUGUGCAGCUUGGUCUUCAUAUGGGUCUCAAACAACUGGAGCCUUUGGGGUUGUCCCAAAGGCUGUUGCCUGUACAUGGGAUAUGUUCUAGCUGGGCUGCCUUGUCUGGCCUCAGUGGGAGAGGAUGCACGUAGCCUCACAGAGACUUGAUGUGCUAGGGUCAGAGGGAUACCCAUGGGGCCCCCACCUGCUCAGAGGAGAAAGGGGGAGUAGGGGAAAGGAUUGUGGGGGGAAGUGAGUGGGAGGGGGCAGUGAGAGGGAUGUAAAGUGAAUAAGUUACAAAACAACAAUAAUACUAAAUUAGCAAUGAAAAAAGGGAAGCAUUUAUUUUUGCUCAGUUGGGGAUACCUACAGUUCAUCACAGUGAGGAAGGCAUGGUAGUGGUAGCAUAAGGUGAAUAGUCACAUUGUAUCCACAAUCAGGAAGCAAAAAGGUGAAUGUUGGUGCUGAGCUAGCUAUCACCUUAUCCCCUAGAUAAGUCUGGACCCUCAGCCCAUAGAAUGGUGCGUCUUACAUUUGGGUAAGUCUUCUCACCCAAUUAACCCAGGACAGAAAAUUCAUCAGACAUGUCCAUGGCCUUGUCUCCUAGGUGAUUCUAGAGCUUGUCAAGUUGACGAUAUCACCAUCAGAGUAGUCUUUGCUUAUUUCUGUAUAUAAAAUAUCUUUUAUCUUUGUUAACAAGAUAACACUUAAACAUCAGGCUAUGACAUUGCAUAUAUAAUAUAGUCCAAUGGAGUCUGAUAAUUGUGAUUAUUCACCAUCUUUGGUAUCUAAAUAUACAUUUUAAAACACAAUCAUUUUUCUUUGUGCCAAAAAUUUAACGUGUUCUAUAAUGUGCAACCGCAAGGUAUUGCAGUUUGAAAAUGAAAUGUCCCCGGUAAGUUCAUGUGUGGAAUGCUUAGUCUCCAGCUUGGGGGGUAUGUGUGAUGGUUCAUAUUGAUUGUCAACUUGACAGGGUCUAGAAUCGCCUAGGAAACAGGUCUCUAGGACUAUCUAUGAGGGAUUAUCUAGGUUAAAUCACACCUGGACUUGUUUGUGGAGGAGUGUCUGGACUAGGUAAAUUGAGGUGGGGAAGCAAAAGAAUGCUGAGCACCAGAAUCCACCUUUGCUUCCUGACUAGGGAUGCUGUGAGACCAGUUGCCUCAUCACGCUCCCGCUGCCUGCCUUGCCUGCCAUGCUGGACACCCUCUCUAACUCUGAGUGAACAAAAGCCCUUUCUUAAGUCGCUUUUGUUAGAUAUUUUGUAUCAGCUCCAAGGAAAGUUAACUGAUACCGGAUGUUCUUUGGGGAGGUCUUGGAAACUUUUCGCUGGGGGAAGUACAACACUCCAGGCUUGAUUUGUGGGUUAGACCUUGUUCACUGCACUUUCCCCGCUGCCUCCUCCUCUGCAAUGCAAGGUGAGUAGACAACUGUCUGCUUGACAUUCCUGAAGCGACAAUGUUCUGGACGAUCUGCUGAGAGCCCAGAAUGAACAGUCAAGGACUAAAAAGUAGCACAUUCGAAACUGUGACCGGGACAAAAUUCUCCCUCCUAUGGUUGUUUAUGUCAGUUACUUUAUUACAGC